AGCCCAUGACGAGGAUUGUGAUACUUGUAUUUUGUCUGAGAUACUGUGAUUACAUCUUUACUACUGCCUUCCUUCUGAGGCU